UUUCGAUGUCCAAAACUGUAAUUGCAUUUGAAUUCAUGCUUUAGAAUAUGGAUAUAUAAUAUAGUCUUGCAUAUUGGGAAUAACUAAAUGAAAUGGUAAAACAUAGGGAAAUUUUCUCCUUCCAAUUUGUGAAUUCAAACAAAGUUGGAGUCCUUGAAUUUUGAGCCAUACAAGUGUAUCUCUCCCUACAAAUUGAGAAUAAGAAGACAUGGAAACUUUGAAAACGUUUCAGAAGUAGUAAUCAACCGUAACUAAAUUCCGAAUUCAUAUUAUAAUCUUAAAUUGUGAUUUUGUCUUUUUUGCAUGUAUACUAGCAGAGCUCUAAUAACUUCUUAAUUUUUCUUUGUAAAAGUUUCUAUCACUCAUUUUUUCGUCCCAAAAGAGAAAUCCUUUUUAGUAACUUGUGAUCUUUCUGUAGCUUGCUUCGGUGUUCAUGUGAGAGGAUCAGAGUAUAUGCCGCUACUUGGCUCCGACGAUCCAACUUCCUUCUUAUUGGCAGUGCCCGAUGUCGAAAUAUGAUGUAAUUCCUGAUUGUCACAUUCUCAUUCCUUCUACCUAAUUACUUAUAUUAUGAGGUGUUAUAAUUAACUAAGGAGAAGAGUUCUUGAUUUCGACAAGGGUUGUAUCUCAAGGAGCAUAUAUUGCCACUUGCAUUUUGUUCGGAUGUAUUUGCGGUUCAUCAUCAUUAUCUUCUGGUCGCUGGUUGAUGAACAAUUCCUGCGUAUGUUUUCUCAGUAAAGCAGUAAGCUUUAAAAUUCUUCUCUUUGUAAUUUUUUGAGGAUUAGAUUUGUAGAGCUUGGAGCGAAACCCUUUGACAUGAGGUUCACAUGAGAGUGCAGGAUUGCCCUUUCCUGGUAAUUUCUUACUUUAAUCAAUUUAUGCGAACAUCUCCCUGCAGUUUAGUAUUGAACUCACUAAAAAUAUAUAUUAUCAUUGCAUUCAUGUGAAUUGCAACUUUACAUAAUAAGUCAUAGCUCUUAUAAAUUCAAAGAGUUGUAUAGUUACCAAGGCCGGUCCUAAGUUUUUGGAUGCUCAAUGCGAAAGCUCAAAAUAUGGCUUUUUUUUAAUACGGAAACAUAUGUUUAAAAAAAAUUAUUUAACAAGGGCUGAAACCUAGUUGAAGCUGGGGGGGCUAGGCCCUCACGUUCAAAUUAUAUUACUUGAGAAAAUAUACAGGGGGGACAUGGUACCUAAACCCUGACAGUCAAAAGUACAUGAUAUAACAAAAAUUUCUUAUCAAAAUUAUCAUUCCAACACAUAUUAUAUAUUAUAAAAACCCUAACAUCUAUUAUAUUAUAAAAGCCCUAACACAUAGUCAUAACAUAUUAGAAAAAUUGAUAAAAUUGAAACUAAAAAUUGGGUUUAAAAUGAAAUCAAAUCAUUCAAUUCAUCAACAACAACAAUUCUAUACAUCAAUUAUCAUAUAAUUAUAUGUCACUUGCAAAAUUUUAUAUUAAAUUAUGAUUUAAUAAUUCAAAUUUUAAAAAUUAGUUUACCUCAAAACUCAAAAGGGUUGGUGAAUGGUGCAGCGCUAAGGAGUUUUAGGAGUUAAAAUGUUGCACUUGCAGCCAAUGGAAUUAGGAGAAAAGGACAAAGAUGACAAGACAGUGGGGAAAGUGGGAAACAAGUGGGGUGGGGAAUUGGGAAAAAGAGGGGGUGUGUUAGGAACUUAGGGUUAAUUGGGGACAAGUGGUCCCCCUUAUGUUCUUUUUAAAAUGCCCAAAACUUGGGUCGUUACAUCUUUUGUCAAACUUGGGCUCUUGCCCUCCAGCCCCCUAUUUUGGGCUUUGGACACUGACCUGUUGCCAUUGGGCCUGGGCCGGGCCUGAGUUACAACGUGAAUGACUAUCCCACAAUUUCUAAUCGUGCUCAACCGCUCCAUUUUUUUUUUCAUUUCCUUUUGACACCAUCACACAACCUUCAUGAUUUUCUUUAUUUUUUAGGGAACUUUAACGAAAAACUCCUGGUAUUGUUCAUUUUAAUGAAAAAUCAUAUUUUUACACUAAAAAGUCAAUCCUGGCACUAUUUACUUUACCCUUUAUUUUGUCCUUAUCGUUAAAACUCAAAGUUUUUAAGUCAUUUUCAUUAGUUUUCCUUAUUUUUUAUUAUAUUUUUCUUUCCCCUUCAUGUGGACACUAGCAACUUUCACUCAUCCUUUCAUUUUUUUUAAUUCUUUUCUCUCUUCUCACUUAUAUUUAUAUUAUAUUUUUAUGACAAAAUUACCAUAUUACUCCUACAUUAUUUGAUGCAUUAUUUUGGACUGCCUUUGAACUUUUUUGUUUUGGGGGCAUUUUUAUCCAAAUGUUUUUUGGUGAAACCGAGACCCCAAAUUGGGGUUGCUGACUAUAUAUAUAUAAAGAUUAAAGAAUGUCAUGUGCAGCUUGAUCCAAUGGUGGAUUGCCCUUUGACACGAGGUUCACAUGAGAAUGUAGGAUUUGUCUUUCCUGGUAAUUUCUUAUAGGUUGUAUGUUUAAUGUUGAAUGAUGAAACAAAAUUGGUAAUGUUUGGGAGACUGGAGACAAAAUUUACAAAUUAAAUUAUGUGUCACUAAUAAGAAUGAGCACGUUUACCAACGCUUAAGCAGUAACCACUCAUUAAAUUUCAUGUCCUUUAGUUUAAAAAUUUUGUCUACAAAUUUAAUCUCUCUAACAUUAUGCAACAAAAUUAUUUAAUAUAUUGCUUUACCUAAAUCAAUAAAUUUGAAAGUAAACCACCAACUCCGCCACUGAAAUUAGUUUUUCGAUAGCUAUGAUUCCAUCCAAUAUCUACAAUGGUUUUUAUCACAAAUAGUCCUUGAAAUCGACCCAUCUCAUCAAGAUGGUCCCUGAAAUUGAAAAUUGAUCAAUGUAGUCCCUGAAAUUGAAUGCCGCAAAUCAAUGUAAUCCUUCUGUCACAAUUCCGUCAAAAAUUGUGUUAAGUGUUGAUGUAUCAAGUAAUUGCAUCUCAUAAGUCUAAUUAAAUAUUAUUAUAUAAAUUAAAAAUAUUUAAAAAAUAAAAAAUAAUUUUUUAUUUCUAUAUAAUUAUAAACUUAAAAAAAACAAAAGAAGAUUACUGUUUAUCUUCUCCCCACCCCAUUCGAGCAACACCCAGCCCCCGCCCCACCCCCACCCCCACCCCAUCUGCAGUAUUCAACUAAAUUAAAACAGUACUCUACUUCCUCCUCCCCUACUCUGCAUUGCGGAGUGAUAUUUCUCCUCUCGACUUGGCUUCCAUAGCCAGAAAGCUUACUUCUGCAGCAGCAAAGAGCAGCAGGAAGCAAUCUCCAUCUGUCCCUCAAUCUCCUAUGACUUAUUCUUCAAGCAUGAGCGGCCAGUUUUUCCCAAGCCCUAUGUGGAGCUCUUCGUCGUCGCCGGGGAGGAGUCCGGGCAGGUUUGUGGAGUAGGAGAAUUUGGGUAUGAUGGUGGAUUAUGGCUCUCAGAGAUCGUCGCGUCGUUCGUGGAAGCCGCUGUUGGAUACGAUAACGGAGAGAUGGGGUGGAGGUGGGGUGGGGGCUGGGUGUUGCUCGGAUGGGGUGGGGAAGAAGAUAAACAGUAAUCUUUUUUUCUUUUUUUUAAGUUUAUAAUUAUAUAGAAAUAAAAAUUAUUUAUUAUUAUUUAAAUAUUUUUAAUUUAUAUAAUAAUAUUUAAUUCAUGAGACCUAAUUACUUAACACAUCAGCACUUAACUGAAUUUUUUACGGAAUUGUGAUGGAAAAACCAUAUUGAUUUGCAGCAUUCAAUUUCAGAGACUACAUUGAUCGAUUUUCAAUUUCGACCAUCUUGAUUGGAUUGGUCAAUUUCAGAAAUUAUUUGUGAUAAAAGCCUUAUCUUCAAUUAUUUUUAUGUUGGGACAAUAUCAAUUAUUGGCAAAAUGUCUGCUGUCAAGCGGUCAAGGUAUGCAGUAAAUAAACUAAAUAAAGAAGUCAAUUUAUGGUUUUUUUUUAACAAAAUGAGAAUCUUCUUCGGAUCCUCUUUAUGAGAAUACAUAUGAUCUUUUAAUCGUAUUUGUUCAUCGUAAAGACGUGUCAUUUGACUGUGAGUAGGGUGGGUUGAAAUGCCUUUAGCCUUUCCAUGUCACACUGAAGAUAGUCUUACCCUUCAGGGUGUAGGAUAUCUCAUACUUAGGCAAAAGAAUACAUAACAACUUACAUAACACAAAUAUAUUGUUACCGUAAAGUCUCGUGCUAAUAAUUAAUGUUCUAAAAUCCGCUAGGCGCUAGUAGUGCGGCGGGCAGGGACCUAGCGCCUAGGCGGCUAGACGGAGCUUAGACGAAUUUAUAUAAAUUUAUUAUAUAGCUUGUAAAUAAAUGUAUAUUUACACCUAAAAAAACUAUAUUCCUAUGGAUAAUAAAAUAAUGAUAAAAUGCAAAAAUAAAAGUAGAAGACCACACAAAGAAUAUACCUCCAAAAAGACCUUGUAUGUAUAGUUAUUUACAAGGAAAACCCUAUAACCUAAAGAUGAUAAAAGAUUCGACAACUUCUAGAUAUUUUGUUUAAUUUGUUAUAUAUUCUCAAUCCAUUAUUUUAUUAAACAAGUCUUUCUCUUUAUUCAUUGAAUCAUUUCUGACACCCCAAUUGUCAUCUUCUUUUUAUUUAUGCCGUCAAUUUCAAAGUCUCCAUCCCUUAUCUUUACUAGGGGUGGGCACGAUUUGGUUCAGUGCGGUUUUGAGUGAAACCGAAAUCUUUUAUUAUUCGGUUCGGUGCAGUUUUAAACGAUUUCAGUUUGGUUUUUAAGAAAAAAUGAACAAUUUGCAAUUUAACAUAUUAAUAAGCAUUUCCCAGUAGCAAUAGGAAAAAGACAUUUGUUAUGUAAACAAUUAGCAUGUUGCAUGCAGUUGUGAUGUUAAAAUAUGGUUUGUGCAACAAAAUAGUGUCAUCAUGCUUUAAAUGAGUGGACUUCAUUAGAUCAUUGUUCGACUCUUGAUAACAUGAUUAGUCCACCCUUGUAUAUUUAUGUGUAUGUGUGUGUGUAGAUGGUAUAAAAUAAACAAAGGUCCUUCAAGUUUCGGUUUCGGUUUUCGAUUCUAAGUGCCCACCCCUAAUCUUCACUUCUCCAUCAAACCGUAGACCCCUUGGUUUAAACAACCCAAUUACCCUCUUCCUACGCUUAGGGCGGUCUAGAGAUUUUUGAGGUCCGGAGCGACACCAAAAAAUGUAUCCUCAGUUUAUAUAAGAAAAUUAUUUGGUGUCACACGUAAGACAUCGAUAAAAUUAUACUUAGAAAAAUCACUUCAAACUUAAUAAUUUAGAAACACGGAAAAACUAAUUUAUUUUGUAUCGUGAGAAGGAAACAAAAAAAAUCCGGGUUUACAUGUAGAUUGAUAUGAGUUUUGUUUUCCAUCUAAACUUUAAAAGUGUUUUUGUAUAAAUUGUGAGGUGUUUUUUCUUAUUUAUUUACUAACCUUGUCAACAGGGGAUUAAAAAAAUAAUGAUGUUUUUGAGUCUUUAAUUUAUAUGUAUAAGUAAUAAAUUGGUACUAAAUUAAACUUUUUGAUGACAUAUUAUAUAAUUUGCAAAUUUGGUUUAAAAAUUUGGUCAACGCAUUACUCUUUGUUGAAGAUUAGACUUGAAUUGGAACAAAUGUUUAAGAAUAACGACUCACAUAGCUACUAACUACUAAUUAAAAAUAAAUUAACAACCAAACAAAAAUUCGUAAAAAUUGAAAAGAAUAAACAUGCACUUAGCAUCUCAAACUUAGGGCCUCUCGUUAAUUGAUUCUAAUUAAACUUCUUGAUCAUUUAGCCAAAUUUUAUAUAUUUAUACUCUUAUUAAAAGAAAUUUGUAAAAAUUGAAAGGUAAAUAAGCUACAUGAAUACACUCAAUUUUUCUUCGUAAAAGUUUCUAUCACUCUUUUUUUCGUCCCAAAAGAGAAAUCAUUUUUAGUAACUUGUGAUCUUUCUGUAGCUUGCUUCGGUGUUCAUGUGAGAGGAUCAGAGUAUAUGCCGCUACUUGGCUCCGACGAUCCAACUUCCUUCUUAUUGGCAGUGCCCGAUUUUGAAAUAUGAUGUAAUUUUUUAUUGUCACAUUCUCAUUCUUACUACUUAAUUACUUAUAUUAUGAGGUGUUCUAAUUAACCAAGGAGAAAAGUUUUUGAUUUCGACAAGGGUUGUAUUUCAAGGAGCACAUAUAGCCACUUGCAUUUUGUUCGGAUGUAUUUGCGGU
rnacentral:lncRNA from 1 species